AUCAGUGAGUGUUUUAGCCAAGCACGUCUAUAGCAUGAGCCCUCCAUGAUUAUCCAAGAGGCCAAGAUGACAUGGAAGCUCCAGGUCCCUCCUUCAUGCCUUGCCUCAUGCCCCUCGCCCAUCUGGCUGCUCCCAAGUCACAUGGUUUUGUAAUCAAACAGUGUUCUAGUUAGUAAAUGUUU